CCCAGACUCCUACGGGAGGCAGCAGUCGGGAAUAUUGCGCAAUGGAGGAAACUCUGACGCAGUGACGCCGCGUGCAGGAAGAAGGUUUUCGGAUUGUAAACUGCUUUAGACAGGGAAGAAAGAAAUGACGGUACCUGUAGAAUAAGCUCCGGCUAACUACGUGCCAGCAGCCGCGGUAAUACGUAGGGGGCAAGCGUUAUCCGGAUUUACUGGGUGUAAAGGGAGCGUAGACGGACUUGCAAGUCUGAUGUGAAAAUCCGGGGCCCAACCCCGGAACUGCAUUGGAAACUGUAUAUCUAGAGUGUCGGAGAGGCAAGUGGAAUUCCUGGUGUAGCGGUGAAAUGCGUAGAUAUCAGGAGGAACACCAGUGGCGAAGGCGGCUUGCUGGACGAUGACUGACGUUGAGGCUCGAAAGCGUGGGGAGCAAACAGGAUUAGAUACCCCAGUAUUU
rnacentral:rRNA from 1 species